UACGAAGGGGGCUAGCGUUGCUCGGAAUUACUGGGCGUAAAGGGCACGUAGGCGGACAGUUUAGUCAGAGGUGAAAGCCCAGGGCUCAACCUUGGAACUGCCUUUGAUACUGACUGUCUUGAGUUCGGGAGGGGUGAGUGGAAUGCCGAGUGUAGAGGUGAAAUUCGUAGAUAUUCGGCGGAACACCAGUGGCGAAGGCGACUCACUGGCCCGAUACUGACGCUGAGGCGCGAAAGCGUGGGGAGCAAACAGG
rnacentral:rRNA from 1 species